UCUACGGAGAGUUUGAUCCUGGCUCAGGAUGAACGCUAGCGGCGUGCCUAAUGCAUGCAAGUCGAACGGGAACCUUGGACACGUCUGAGGUGAGAGUGGCGAACGGGUGAGUAACACGUAGGUGACCUACCCCAGAGAGGGGGACAACCAGUGGAAACGCUGGCUAAUACCCCGGAUGUCAAUCGGGUUAGAGGCCGAUUGACUAAAGCUGAGGCGCUCUGGGAGGGGC
rnacentral:rRNA from 1 species